CCUACGGGAGGCAGCAGUAGGGAAUCUUUCACAAUGGGCGAAAGCCUGAUGGAGCAACGCCGCGUGCAGGAUGAAGGCCUUCGGGUUGUAAACUGCUUUUAUAAGCGAGAAAUAUGAUGGUAACUUAUGAAUAAGGAUCGGCUAACUACGUGCCAGCAGCCGCGGUCAUACGUAGGAUCCGAGCAUUAUCCGGAGUGCCUGGGUGUAAAGAGUUGCGUAGGUGGCAUAAUAAGUAGCUAGUGAAAUCUGGUGGCUCAACCAUUCAGACUAUUAGCUAAACUGUUAAGCUCGAGACCGUUAGGGGUAACUGGAAUUUCUGGUGUAGGAGUGAAAUGCGUAGAUAUUAGAAGGAACACCAAUAGCGUAGGCAGGUUACUGGGACGGUUCUGACACUAAGGCACGAAAGCGUAGGGAGCAAACGGGAUUAGAUACCCGAGUAGUC
rnacentral:rRNA from 1 species